UACGAAGGGGGCUAGCGUUGCUCGGAAUCACUGGGCGUAAAGCGUGCGCAGGCGGUUUUGUAAGCCAGAUGUGAAAGCCCCGGGCUUAACCUGGGAAUGGCAUUUGGGACUGCAAGGCUGGAGUGUGGCAGAGGAGACUGGAAUUCCUGGGUGUAGCGGUCGAAAUGCGCAGAUAUCAGGAAGAACACCCGUGGCGAAGGCGGCUCUCUGGGACGGUACUGACGCUGAGACGCGAAAGCGUGGGAGCGAACAGG
rnacentral:rRNA from 1 species